GCUGAUAUGGCCGAGUCGUUAAGGCGAGUGAUUUGAAUCACGUUUCGCAACGUGGCAACAUCACUUGGGCAUUGCCCGCGUAGGUUCAAAUCCUGCUGUCAGCG